rnacentral:rRNA from 1 species
GACGAACGCUGGCGGCGUGCUUAACACAUGCAAGUCGAACGGAAAGGCCCUGCUUUUGUUGGGUGCUCGAGUGGCGAACGGGUGAGUAACACGUGAGUAACCUGCCCUUGACUUUGGGAUAACUUCAGGAAACUGGGGCUAAUACCGGAUAGGAGCUCCUGCUGCAUGGUGGGGGUUGGAAAGUUUCGGCGGUUGGGGUUGGACUCGCGUCUUAUCCGCUUGUUGGUGGGGUAGUGGCUUACCAAGGCUUUGACGGGUAGCCGGCCUGAGAGGGUGACCGGCCACAUUGGGACUGAGGUACGGCGCAGACGCCUACGAGAGGCAGCAGUGGGGAAUAUUGCACGAUGGGCGGACGCCUGAUGCAGCAACGCCGCGUGCGGGAUGACGGCCUUCGGGUUGUAACCCGCUUUCGCCUGUGACGAAGCGUGAGUGACGGUAAUGGGUAAAGAAGCACCGGCUAACUACGUG